rnacentral:rRNA from 1 species
UACGUAGGGAGCAAGCGUUGUCCGGAAUCAUUGGGCGUAAAGCGCGCGUAGGUGGCUUCGUAAGUCCGCUGUGAAAGUCAAAGGCUCAACCUUUGAAAGCCGGUGGAUACUGUGGAGCUAGAGUCCGGAAGAGGCGAGUGGAAUUCCUGGUGUAGCGGUGGAAUGCGCAGAUAUCAGGAGGAACACCAAUAGCGAAGGCAGCUCGCUGGGACGGUACUGACACUGAGGCGCGAAAGCGUGGGGAGCGAACAGG